UAGCAUAUCAAUAAGCGGAGGAAAAGAAACCAACAGGGAUUGCCUCAGUAACGGCGAGUGAAGCGGCAACAGCUCAAAUUUGAAAUCUGGUGCGAGGCCCUCUUGCGCCCGAGUUGUAAUUUGUAGAGGGUGCUUUGGCGUUGGCCCCCGCCCAAGUUCCUUAGAACAGGACGUCAUAGAGGGUGAGAACCCCGUACAUGGCCGGACGGCCUUCGCCUUGUAAAGCCCCUUCGACGAGUCGAGUUGUUUGGGAAUGCAGCUCUAAAUGGGAGGUAAAUUUCUUCUAAGGCUAAAUACCGGCUGGAGACCGAUAGCGCACAAGUAGAGUGAUCGAAAGAUGAAAAGCACUUUGGAAAGAGAGUGAAAAAGCACGUGAAAUUGUUGAAAGGGAAGCGCUUGCAGCCAGACUCGCCCGCGGUUGCUCACCCGGCGCUCCUGCCCGGUGCACUCUUCUGCGGGCGGGCCAGCAUCGGUUUGGGCGGUCGGACAAAGGCCCUGGGAACGUGGCUCCCCACGGGGAGUGUUAUAGCCCAGGGCGUCAUGCGGCCAGCCCGGACCGAGGCCCGCGCAUUUCGCUAGGAUGCUGGCGUAAUGGCUGUAAGCGGCCCGUCUUGAAACACGGACCAAGGAGUCUAACAUCUGUGCGAGUGUUUGGGUGUCAAGCCCUGGCGCGCAAUAAAAGUGAACGGAGGUGGGACCCCCUCGGGGCGCACCAUCGACCGAUCCUGAUGUCUUCGGAUGGAUUUGAGUAAGAGCAUAGCUGUUGGGACCCGAAAGAUGGUGAACUAUGCCUGAAUAGGGUGAAGCCAGAGGAAACUCUGGUGGAGGCUCGCAGCGGUUCUGACGUGCAAAUCGAUCGUCAAAUUUGGGCAUAGGGGCGAAAGACUAAUCG
rnacentral:rRNA from 1 species